rnacentral:rRNA from 1 species
CAGCCGCCGCGGUAAUACGUAGGUGGCAAGCGUUGUCCGGAAUUAUUGGGCGUAAAGGGCUCGCAGGCGGUUUCUUAAGUCUGAUGAGAAAGCCCCCGGCUCAACCGGGGAGGGUCAUUGGAAACUGGGAAACUUGAGUGCAGAAGAGGAGAGUGGAAUUCCACGUGUAGCGGUGAAAUGCGUAGAGAUGUGGAGGAACACCAGUGGCGAAGGCGACUCUCUGGUCUGUAACUGACGCUGAGGAGCGAAAGCGUGGGGAGCGAACAGGAUUAGAUACCCCUGUAGUCCCUGUCUCUUAUAC